AGCGAACGCUGGCGGCAGGCUUAGCACAUGCAAGUCGAGCGGGCCCUUCGGGGUCAGCGGCAGACGGGUGAGUAACACGUGGGAACGUACCCUUUGGUUCGGAAUAACGCUGGGAAACUAGCGCUAAUACCGGAUACGCCCUUUUGGGGAAAGGCUUGCUGCCGAAGGAUCGGCCCGCGUCUGAUUAGCUAGUUGGUGGGGUAAUGGCCUACCAAGGCGACGAUCAGUAGCUGGUCUGAGAGGAUGAUCAGCCACACUGGGACUGAGACACGGCCCAGACUCCUACGGGAGGCAGCAGUGGGGAAUAUUGGACAAUGGGCGCAAGCCUGAUCCAGCCAUGCCGCGUGAGUGAUGAAGGCCUUAGGGUUGUAAAGCUCUUUUGUCCGGGACGAUAAUGACGGUACCGGAAGAAUAAGCCCCGGCUAACUUCGUG
rnacentral:rRNA from 1 species